ensembl:lincRNA
AAGGGGUGGAAGUUUUUGAUUGUUGAGCAUUUCUGAUUUGCAGUUUUCAGCUUCGGAACCUCAUGUGAACACAGUGAGGGGUGAGAGGUGCACUGCGGCCCUCGGCGGGGUCUGGUCUGUGGUCAGCAUCCCGGCCAGGGGGCUGCGGGAAGUCAGCACCCUCUGAAGCCUGGGAGUCAGAACCUGCACUGUAUCAUGGUGAGGAGAACUCAGGUUUGGGAGCACUGACAUCUGACGGGAGGGAAGCCACAGCUGAAGUCUAAAGGGAGUAAGUCAAAUGCUGCACAGUAAUAAAACUAUCAGAUCUUGUACUCAUUUACUUUCAAAAAAUCCACCAGACAGCAUCCAGACAUCUGGGGGUGAAGGAGUUCUAUGCAGAAAGGCAGCAACGACUGAGUUGAGAGAAUCUACCUUCAAGGUCUUCUCUGCACAUCAAUCAAAGGUAGAGCGCUGCUUUAAAUCUGAGACUGCUGGUUACCACAUGAACCACAAAUCAUACUAAAAGUGAUAGUUAUUUUGUUUGUUUGUUUGUUUGUUUUGGUACCGGGGAUUGAAAAAUCAUACUAAAAGUAUUUAAGCAAUUUUAUAGGAGGCACUGUAAACAUUCUGUUUACAGAUGGGGCCCAUGGCGCCAAAUGAAGCUCUUGGGAGUCUCCUGUCAUGGUAAGUGUUUGGGGAAGCAGUUAUGUACCAAGUGGCAUAAUGGCAUUCAAUAUUUUAAUAAUUAGUAAGACAUAAUAUUGGUAAAAGGCUGGCU